rnacentral:rRNA from 1 species
CCCUUAGAUGUUCUGGGCCGCACGCGCGCUACACUGACGAUGGCAACGAGUUUUUCCUUCGCCGAAAGGUGUGGGUAAUCUUUUGAAACAUCGUCGUGCUGGGGAUAGAUCAUUGCAAUUUUUGAUCUUGAACGAGGAAUUCCUAGUAAGCGCGAGUCAUCAGCUCGCGUUGAUUACGUCCCUGCCCUUUGUACACACCGCCCGUCGCUACUACCGAUUGAAUGGUUUAGUGAGGACUCCUGAUUGGCGCCGCCGCCCCGGCAACGGAGCAGCCGACUGCCGAAAAGUUGUUCAAACUUGAUCAUUUAGAGGAAGUAAAAGUCGUAACA